rnacentral:rRNA from 1 species
AGAGUUUGAUCCUGGCUCAGAACAAACGCUGGCGGCGUGCCUAACACAUGCAAGUCGUACGAGAAAGGGUCUUUCGGGAUCUGAGUAAAGUGGCGCACGGGUGAGUAACGCGUGGAUAAUCUGCCCUUCAGUUGGGAAUAACUCAUCGAAAGGUGGGCUAAUACCGAAUAAUGCUGUGAGACCUCGGUCGAUCAGCCAAAGAGAGCCUCUGCUUGCAUGCCCUUGCUGAAGGAUGAGUCCGCGUACCAUUAGCUAGUUGGUAGGGUAAUGGCCUACCAAGGCGACGAUGGUUAGCUGGUCUGAGAGGAUGAUCAGCCACACUGGAACUGAGACACGGUCCAGACUCCUACGGGAGGCAGCAGUGAGGAAUCUUGCGCAAUGGGGGAAACCCUGACGCAGCAACGCCGCGUGAGUGAGGAAGGUCUUCGGAUCGUAAAGCUCUGUCGGAUGGAAAGAACCGCAUAGGAGUAAAUAGCGCCUAUGUCUGACGGUACCAUCAAAGGAAGCACCGGCUAACUCCGUGCCAGCAGCCGCGGUAAUACGGGGGGUGCAAGCGUUGUUCGGAAUUAUUGGGCGUAAAGAGCGUGUAGGCGGCCUGAUGUGUCAGAUGUGAAAGCCCUGGGCUUAACCCAGGAAGUGCAUUUGAAACUGUCAGGCUUGAGUAGGGGAGAGGGAAGUGGAAUUCCUGGUGUAGAGGUGAAAUUCGUAGAUAUCAGGAGGAACACCGGUGGCGAAGGCGACUUCCUGGCCCUAUACUGACGCUGAGACGCGAGAGCGUGGGUAGCAAACAGGAUUAGAUACCCUGGUAGUCCACGCCGUAAACGAUGUUCACUAGGUGUUGGGGGUAUUGACCCCCUCAGUGCCGGAGCUAACGCAUUAAGUGAACCGCCUGGGGAGUACGGUCGCAAGACUAAAACUCAAAGGAAUUGACGG